rnacentral:misc_RNA from 1 species
GAUACAUCUAUGUCAGUCUGACUCUGUUUAUUUUUGUUCAAGAAAACCUUAAAUAAGUUUUUAAUCAUUAUCUAUUAAUUUUUAGUCUAUUCGAAGUGAUAAAACUUUUCAAACUAUUAUAUAACUGGUGAUAUUUCGAAGUCACUUGGCGGAUAGAAUGAUUGGUAUCUGGCACAACCAUGAGAACACAGUGGCUAUGAGCGGGGGCUCGCGACGUGGCCGAUAGUACAGCGCUAGCCCGCGUCGGCUCCCGUCACCCCAGGCACGGCCGCGCAACCCCGUAGCAAC